GAUGAACGCUGGCGGCGUGCCUAAUACAUGCAAGUCGAGCGAAUGGAUUAAGAGCUUGCUCUUAUAAAGUUAGCGGCGGACGGGUGAGUAACACGUGGGUAACCUGCCCAUAAGACUGGGAUAACUCCGGGAAACCGGGGCUAAUACCGGAUAACAUUUUGAACCGCAUGGUUCGAAAUUGAAAGGCGGCUUCGGCUGUCACUUAUGGAGGGACCCGCGUCGCAUUAGCUAGCCGGUGAGGUAACGGCUCACCAAGGAAACGAGGAGUAGCCGACCUGAGAGGGUGAUCGGCCACACUGGGACUGAGACACGGCCCAGACUCCUACGGGAGGCAGCAGUAGGGAAUCUUCCGCAAUGGACGAAAGUCUGACGGAGCAACGCCGCGUGAGUGAUGAAGGCUUUCGGGUCGUAAAACUCUGUUGUUAGGGAAGAACAAGCGCUAGUUGAAUAAGCUGGCACCUUGACGGUACCUAACCAGAAAGCCACGGCUAACUACGUGCCAGCAGCCGCCGUAA
rnacentral:rRNA from 1 species